AUUGAACGCUGGCGGCAGGCCUAACACAUGCAAGUCGAACGAGUGGCGGACGGGUGAGUAAUGUCUGGGAAACUGCCUGAUGGAGGGGGAUAACUAAUGGAAACGGUAGCUAAUACCGCAUACCAUCGGAUGUGCCCAGCUGGGCGUAGCUAGUAGGUGGGGUAACGGCUCACCUCGGCGACGAUCCCUAGCUGGUCUGAGAGGAUGACCAGCCACACGGGACAUGAGACACGGUCCAGACUCCUACGGGAGGCAGCAGUGGGGAAUAUUGCACAAUGGGCGAAAGUCUGAUGCAGCCAGGCCGCGUGUAUGAAGAAGGCCUUCGGGUUGUAAAGUACUUUCAGCGGGGAGGCGUUACCCGCAGAAGAAGCACCGGCUAACUCCGUGCCAGCAGCCGCGGUAAUAC
rnacentral:rRNA from 1 species